GGGGAUGUAAAGGCUUCGACGGGGUCGUGGAGACUCAGGGAGCGAGCCGCAGUGGGUACUGCGUAAAAAACCCAACUUUUAAAUUAAACGCUAACAAAAAUUUAGCUUACGCUGCCUAAUUAACGCAGCUGCCUUACUGUGAUUACCGCGCUCACAGAUUAAGGUAUCAUCCAAGCGGUGAACGUGAAUACGGAAAGCUUUGACCGCAUCAUGAAUUAAUGAAGCUACCAAUGUCUUGGGUUUGUUUGUGAGCCUUUGGCAUUCGGGAAAUUUAAUCACAAACUACGCUCGUAGUGCCCUGUGGGGACACUUCUUCGGACGGGGGUUCAAUUCCCCCCAUCUCCACCA
rnacentral:tmRNA from 1 species